rnacentral:tRNA from 1 species
GGUAGGAUGGCUGAACUAUAGGCGGUAGACUGUAAAUCUACUUAUGAGAAAAAUUUCUCCCCUACCA